CACAUGCAGUCGAGCGGUAGAGAGAGCUUGCUUCUCUUGAGAGCGGCGGACGGGUGAGUAAUGCCUAGGAAUCUGCCUGGUAGUGGGGGAUAACGUUCGGAAACGGACGCUAAUACCGCAUACGUCCUACGGGAGAAAGCAGGGGACCUUCGGGCCUUGCGCUAUCAGAUGAGCCUAGGUCGGAUUAGCUAGUUGGUGAGGUAAUGGCUCACCAAGGCGACGAUCCGUAACUGGUCUGAGAGGAUGAUCAGUCACACUGGAACUGAGACACGGUCCAGACUCCUACGGGAGGCAGCAGUGGGGAAUAUUGGACAAUGGGCGAAAGCCUGAUCCAGCCAUGCCGCGUGUGUGAAGAAGGUCUUCGGAUUGUAAAGCACUUUAAGUUGGGAGGAAGGGUUGUAGAUUAAUACUCUGCAAUUUUGACGUUACCGACAGAAUAAGCACCGGCUAACUCUGUGCCAGCAGCCGCGGUAAUACAGAGGUGCAAGCGUUAAUCGGAUUACUGGGCGUAAAGCGCGCGU
rnacentral:rRNA from 1 species